rnacentral:lncRNA from 1 species
GCUCCAAUAAGCUAAUAAUAACCAUAAUAGCAAAAUGUUUUAACCCAAUCACAUAAGUUUUACGGUUCAACACUUCAAAAGUUAAAGUUUCAAAUGUUAAUAACAAAAGACUCCGAGAACAUCGACAACAAUUCAAAGUUCUUCUUAAGUAAGGUCUAGAUCUUCAAUAUCUCCAUCUUCCCUUUCUUCAAUUACUCCACCUACAAAAGAGGAUAAAUAAAGUUAAUACCCUUCAAGGGUUGGUUUACCAUUAUAAGAAUGGGUAUAGUCCAUGAAUAAUGCAUAAAGCACAAAGUUUCCGGUAGAUAGAAACAAGUUCACACAAAUGAAGAAGUCAAAGUUUAGUAACAAAUCUAAAUCAUCAAAACCAAACUUUUAAGCAUAUGCAUUCAGGCAAAUUGAGAGUUGUGUGCUUUUCUUAUUUUGAACUAACUCAAACAUAAAAACAUAAGCAAAUGAACAAUCUAACAGUUUCGGUAGCCAACCAAACUAACAGUUUUCAACUUUUUAUUUUUUUUGCAAGUAACAAUCUAAAGAUGAAACAUUCCAUGCGAAGCAUAGCAAAAACAGUCCAGCAAAAUACAUAUCGAAACAGAAUUUUUGCAAUAUUGACUUCGAAAAAACAUUGCAACAUAGCUCAUAUCAGACUAACAAUGGAAUGAAAAUGGAAGCUCCAUGUUAUCUUCCACGACUACAACUUGCUAUGGACUUACAUUUUCAUCCUGCAACAAAAAAAACUGUUGUGAUAUCGACCUACUACAGUUCAAAAGACCAGUACAGGUAGGUAAUCAAGACACAAGUAGCUGAUACCAUAAACAAAUUAAGAAGACUGGUAGGUAUUGAAUAUUAAUUCUGAAGUCAAUUUGCUGCAGUCAAUCUCUAUUUAAUUUCUCUUCUCCCUUUCUACACAAAGUUAACACAAGGAGUACGGAGCAAUGGUCACGAUGGUUCGUGUUGUGACUUCUUUACUAAGCUGUUACCUCGAGAUUAUUCGACUUUAGACUACUCUGUUGUCAUUCAUUCCCACUUUGUAGCUUGCAACGUGUUGUGAAUUAUGGAAAGCAUGUAUAUAGAACAAUAUAGUCUUUUACUUCCUGAGAAUUUACUCAUAUUAUAGUUAUACCAUGUACAUUAUUCCCCAAAAGGUGAAGAACAUGGUAUAUUUAAGUAAAUGACACUGGAAACUUAAAGAUAGAAGGCUCACACUACUUCAGCCUAUUGGAUAUUAUGGUCUUACUUUUUAACGGUGCUGGAAAUCAAGGCCUACAGCUAAACACAAAAAAUGUCAACAAGUAAAUGGUGCAAGAAUCAAAUGAAAAGCAAAGGAAAGCACGAAUUGCUUUUAGAAAUCCUGUCAAAACUAAGCACACCAUAGAAACUAUCAGGUAUCAAAACACUCAACUUACUCAGUUGGCAAAUAAUUGGAUAGAUCAGGAACAAUAAUGGUCUACUUUCCAGUGUUACCAACUACAAUCAACAUCUUUAAAUUGUUCUCAUAGACAUUUACUUUUGAGUUCCUAAUAUUAAUCUCAUACUUUAAUUCUUUAGUGCUAGAAGUAGAAUUCUCCCUAAUAGAUUGGGAAGAAACUGCAUUAUGAACCCGCACGUUCUACAAUUCGAAGGAAACAAGAGUUAAGGCAUCAUGACAUUUGCAUUAGAUUUUGUUUUACUUUGAAAGAUCAUAUUCUUUAAAAAGUUUCAAAACACUAGGACUGAUCAUUGUGAUACUUCUUCAAGCUAACAUCCUCUGUUUCUUUUGGCUAAGUAGUGAUUGGGAGCUAAAAUAGGAUGAGAAAGAUGGCAUCUUUCUUUGCAAGUAUACAACAACAAAGAGCCGUCAAGGUAACCACAGAAUUACGCAACGACAAAGGGCCGGAAGCGAAAUUAAAAAAUGACUAGACUAACCAGACUUAGCCAUCCAAAAUUAUAUUAAAAUGAUUCACAACACAAUAAAACUUUAUAAGACAAUAUACACAAUAGAAUAAAAAUUUGUAAGACCAAAUAAAUCCUAUUCUACUUGAAACUGAAAAACAGUUAUAAUGCAGGAAUAUUAGGUCAACAUUAUGACUAUGUUCUCCAAUGAAUAUUGAAUAAAUAAUCAAAAGCCAAAAUGCAAUUACGAUAUCUUUAAAUUGGAGUAAACAAAAUUUAAAAUAUAAAUUUAACAAAAAUAUAGCAACCCCAAUUUUCUCUCCACCAGGUCUCAUUGCUUCUAAUAAGAAAUCAAAAUCCACCAACUCAACUUUCUUUUUCUGAAACUAGAAAAUUGAUCAACUCAACUCUCAUUUUUCAAAACUAAAAAUCAAAAUAACAAAUUUAUCAAUACAAUAUCAGUAAAAUUGAAGUACAAAAUUACUAAAGAAGAAUGAUAAAUCUAUGGUGAAAAUAUUACCAGAGAAAGAAAAGGAAGGAGCAGCGAACAGAAGCCUAUGCCGGAUGUGUAAUUUUGCCUUAGCCGGAUUUAUUGCCUUAAAG